AUUUAUGUACGUGCAUGUGGUGCUGCAUUUUGUUAUGCUGCUUGUCUCUCUGUCUGUCUGGCUGCCACUUUUACGCACUUUUGAUAAAUUGUCCUUCCGCCACAUGCCCUGCCGCUCUGUUUGGUCAAGGAUUAGCCGCGUCGACACUAAUUAAGAGCAAGAGCCACAAACAAUUCAAUCCCCCCACCCAGUGACUGUGUUGAAAAUUUUCCAUCAAAAUCUACUUGGCGCCAGCGAAACAUUGCAGCAGGGAGUAGGGGCCAAACCAAUGCAUCAAAGUCUGCAGCCUUAAUUUAUUUCAAAGUUCUGGUAACUGCAUACAUAAUGAACCAGGCAGGCGCAUACCGCAAAUUCCCCGAGAUGGAGACGAGAGACCAGAGAGCAGAGCAAAGCAGAGCCAACUGAACCGCUUGCAAUGCGCGUGCCAGCCAGCCAGCCAGCCAGCUCUCGCCCCCCUUUUGGGUCGCAAUUAAUCAUCGGGUGGAGAGCGCCUUCAAGUGAUUGCCACUGCUGCAUUUCUGGCGGUGACACACGACCAGCAGACAGACGCAUGCAACUACAAUUCAGGCGGCCAGCAGCCUCUUCUUUUUAGGAGUGAUCCUUUGCCACGAUCGUUGGAGAUCGGCAACCCAAAGUGCACCCACAAAUGACACCAUCUUUUAGCAUCGAUCACAUGACCUGACUCGCUUUCUGUUGAUACACUUUCGCCACGCACUGUCACGACACGAUCGGCGCUUAACUGUUGUUAUUAAAAAUAUCCAUCGAUUGCGUAG
rnacentral:lncRNA from 1 species